AUUGAACGCUGGCGGCAUGCUUUACACAUGCAAGUCGGACGGCAGCACAGAGAAGCUUGCUUCUUGGGUGGCGAGUGGCGAACGGGUGAGUAACAUAUCGGAACGUACCGAGUAAUGGGGGAUAACUAAUCGAAAGAUUAGCUAAUACCGCAUAUUCUCUGAGGAGGAAAGCAGGGGACCUUCGGGCCUUGCGUUAUUCGAGCGGCCGAUAUCUGAUUAGCUAGUUGGUGGGGUAAAGGCCUACCAAGGCAACGAUCAGUAGCGGGUCUGAGAGGAUGAUCCGCCACACUGGGACUGAGACACGGCCCAGACUCCUACGGGAGGCAGCAGUGGGGAAUUUUGGACAAUGGGCGCAAGCCUGAUCCAGCCAUGCCGCGUGUCUGAAGAAGGCCGUCGGGUUGUAAAGGACUUUUGUCAGGGAAGAAAAGGUUGUUGCUAAUAUCGACAGCU
rnacentral:rRNA from 1 species